rnacentral:rRNA from 1 species
CCUACGGGAGGCAGCAGUGAGGAAUAUUGGUCAAUGGGCGCGAGCCUGAACCAGCCAAGUAGCGUGAAGGAUGACUGCCCUACGGGGUGGAAACUUCUUUUAUAAAGGAAUAAGGUGAGACACGUGUGCCUUUUUGUAUGUACUUUAUGAAUAAGGAUCGGCUAACUCCGUGCCAGAAGCCGCGGUAAUACGGAGGAUCCGAGCGUUAUCCGGAUUUAUUGUGUUUAAAGGGAGCGUAGAUGGGUUGUUAAGUCAGUUGUGAAAGUUUGCGGCUCAACCGUAAAAUUGCAAUUGAUACUGGCAGCCUUGAGUACAGUUGAGGUAGGCGGAAUUCGUGGUGUAGCGGUGAAAUGCUUAGAUAUCACGAAGAACUCCGAUUGCGAAGGCAGCUUACUAAACUGCCACUGACAUUGAUGCUCGAAAGUGUGGGUAUCAAACAGGAUUAGAUACCCCUGUAGUC